GGCAUUCUAACACUAGACUAAAACAAGACUGCUGAAAGCCUGGAAUGUGCUGAAAAUCUAUCAGCUUCGUCCAUGACAUCAUAAACAUGUAUGACAUCAUAAACAUGUGGGACAUCAUUGAGUUCCAUGUGAGUAGUGGAAAAGACAAUUAUACGAUUAAAGGUACAGUCAGUCAGCAUGUAAUAUGAUAUAGAGAUGAUGUUUUUAGAGGUAU